rnacentral:tRNA from 1 species
GCGGACGUAGCCCAACUGGCAGAGGCACCUGCUUCAAAACCAGGAACGUGCAGGUUCGAAUCCUGCCGUCCGCACCA